GGCAAGGUGCCCGAGCGGUCUAAGGGGUUCGACUAGAACUACAGGAGUUUUCUAAUCAAAAACUUCCAGUGGAAGCUAUCGAAUAUGUUCGCAUGCGCAGGUUCAAAUCCUGCCCUUGUCG